CUGGAAGACGACCAGGUUGAUAGGUUCGAGGUGGAAGUGCAGCAAUGCAUGCAGCUGACGAAUACUAAUCGGUCGAGGGCUUAUCCUA
rnacentral:rRNA from 1 species